rnacentral:rRNA from 1 species
AAAGAAAGUAACAAGGAUUCCCCUAGUAACGGCGAGUGAAGCGGGAAGAGCUCAAAUUUAAAAUCUGGUUUGCUUGCAAAUCCGAGUUGUAGUCUGAAGAAGCGUUUUCCAUGAAAAUCGAGGCACAAGUCCUUUGGAACAGGGCAUCAUAGAGGGUGAGAAUCCCGUCCAUGGUCUCGAAUCUUUCAUUUUGUGAUACGCUUUCUAAGAGUCAGGUUGUUUGGGAAUGCAGCCUAAAAUGGGUGGUAAAUUUCAUCUAAAGCUAAAUAUUGGCGAGAGACCGAUAGCGAACAAGUACCGUGAGGGAAAGAUGAAAAGAACUUUGAAAAGAGAGUUAAAAAGUACGUGAAAUUGUUGAAAGGGAACCGUUUGAAGCCAGUCUUGCUUAUUUGUGAUCAGUUUUGGCUUUGGCCAGAAUGCACUCUCAAAUUAUGCAGGUCAACGUCAGUUUGAGAGGCGGGAAAAAAGCUUGAGGAAUGUGGCCUUCGGGUGUUAUAGCCUCUUGCUAAAUACCGUCUCAUGGACUGAGGCUCGCAGCAAAAAUUUGGGCAGGCGUGCUUCUGAGGGGAAUCAUUAUCAAGACAGCUUGCUGACUUGGUUUUGCCCAACUUCACAGUACGUUUCGCUUCUAAUUUGCUUAGGUCGUUGACAUAAUGGCUUUAAAUGACCCGUCUUGAAACACGGACCAAGGAGUCUAACAUAUAUGCGAGUAUUUGGGUGGCAAACCCACAUGCGCAAUGAAAGUGAAAUUAGGUGCCAAACCUUCACGGGUGGCAGCAUCGGCCGGCUCUGACGUUUUAACUGACGAGUCUGAGCAGAAGCAUACAUGUUGGGACCCGAAA